GGCGGGUGCUUACACAUGCAAGUUGAGCCGGUAAGGCCCCAUUCGGGGGUACACGAGCAGCGAACGGGUGGGUAUCGCGUGGGUAAUCUACCUAGAGGUAGGGGAUAGCCUCGGGAAACCGAGGGUAAUACCGCAUAAGUCCUCGACGGCAUAAGUCGACGAGGGGAAAGGCGGGGCUCCUUCGGGACCUGUCGCCUCUGGAUGAGCCCGCGUCCGAUUAGCUAGUUGGUGAGGUAAUGGCUCACCAAGGCUGCGAUCGGUAGCCGGCCUGAGAGGGUGAACGGCCACAUUGGGACUGAGACACGGCCCAGACUCCUACGGGAGGCAGCAGUGGGGAAUUUUGGGCAAUGGGGGAAACCCUGACCCAGCGACGCCGCGUGGAGGAUGACGGCCUUCGGGUUGUAAACUCCUGUCAAGUGGGAAGAAGAGCUUGUCGGAUAAUACCCGGCAGGAAUUGACGGUACCACUAAAGGAAGCCCCGGCUAACUCCGUGCCAGCAGCCGCGGUAAUACGGAGGGGGCAAGCGUUAUUCGGAUUUACUGGGCGUAAAGCGCACGUAGGUGGCAUGGUAAGUCAAAGGUGAAAGCCCUCGGCUCAACCGAGGAAUUGCCUUUGAAACUGCUUUGCUUGAGUCCGGGAGGGGGGAGCGGAAUUCCCAGUGUAGCGGUGAAAUGCGUAGAUACUGGGAGGAACACCGGUGGCGAAGGCGGCUCCCUGGACCGGUACUGACACUGAGGUGCGAAAGCGUGGGUAGCAAACAGGAUUAGAUACCCUGGUAGUCCACGCCGUAAACGAUGGGCACUAGGUGCGGCGGGUGUCGACCCCUGCUGUGCCGUAGUUAACGCAUUAAGUGCCCCCGCCUGGGGAGUACGGUCGCAAAGCCUGAAACUCAAAGGAAUUGACGGGGGG
rnacentral:rRNA from 1 species